GUAAACGAUGANUGCUAANUGUUAGAGGGUUUCCGCCCUUUAGUGNUGAAGUUAACGCAUUAANCACUCCGCCUGGGGAGUACGGCCGCAAGGNUGAAANUCAAAGGAAUUGACGGGGGCCCGCACCANCGGUGGAGCAUGUGGUUUAAUUUGAANCAACGCGAAGAACCUUNCCAGGUNUUGACAUCCUUUGACAACCCUANAGAUANGGNUUUUCCUUNGGGAGCAGAGUGACAGGUGGUGCAUGGUUGUNGUCANCUCGUGUNGUGAGAUGUUGGGUUAANUCCCGCAACGAGCGCAACCCUUGAUUUUAGUUGCCAUCAUUUAGUUGGGCACUUUAAGGUGACUGCCGGUGACAAACCGGAGGAAGGUGGGGANGACGUCAAAUCAUCAUGCCCCUUAUGACCUGGGCUACACNCGUGNUACAAUGGACGGUACAAAGAGCUGCAAGACCGCGAGGNGGAGCUAAUNUNAUAAAACCGUUNUCAGUUNGGAUUGUAGGNUGCAACUNGCCUACAUGAAGCUGGAAUCGCUNGUAAUCGCGGAUCAGCAUGCCGCGGUGAAUACGUUCCCGGGCCUUGUACACACCGCCCGUCACAC
rnacentral:rRNA from 2 species